rnacentral:rRNA from 1 species
AACGAACGCUGGCGGCAGGCCUAACACAUGCAAGUCGAGCGGGGGAGCAAUCCCUAGCGGCGGACGGGUUAGUAACGCGUGGGAACAUACCCUUUGGUACGGAAUAGCCUCGGGAAACUGAGAGUAAUACCGUAUGUGCCCUUCGGGGGAAGGAUUUAUCGCCAAAGGAUUGGCCCGCGUUGGAUUAGGUAGUUGGUGGGGUAAUGGCCUACCAAGCCUACGAUCCAUAGCUGGUUUGAGAGGAUGAUCAGCAACACUGGGACUGCGACACGGCCCAGACUCCUGCGGGAGGCAGCAGUGGGGAAUAUUGGACAAUGGGCGAAAGCCUGAUCCAGCAAUGCCGCGUGAGUGAUGAAGGCCUUAGGGUUGUAAAGCUCUUUACCCGGGAUGAUAAUGACAGUACCGGGAGAAUAAGCUCCGGCUAACUCCGUGCCAGCAGCCGCGGUAAUGUGACUACUG